rnacentral:rRNA from 1 species
UAUGGGCCAUUACCACCCUGAAUGCACCCAAUCUCAUCUAAUCUCAGAAGCUAAGCAGGGUUGGGUGUGGUUAGUACUUGGAUGGGAGACCACUGGGGAACACUGGGUGCUGUAC